AAAGGCCCUUUCACCUUGUGUCACAUCUCUGAAAAAUGUGGAUUCGAACCUAAUGUACAGUAACCUGUGUGGAGUGUGUGGUUUAUGGAUUUCUAUGGCAACAAGAUCAUUCGCUUCACUUUGUAGGGCUCAGGGGGGAGAAGAGAGUUACAUCAAUAUGAAUAACAUGUAAGAGGCAUAUUGAGUCAAAGGAAGAUAUUAAGUGAUGAGCCUCAUUGACACUACGAUUAAGCGUAACAGUUGCAUAUGCAAAGUUAACCAGAAUCACAGUUCUGCUCUUGCGUCUGAACCCACCAACCCCUUUGGAGGAGGGGAGCUAGAAUCGCUGGACUGCAGCUGGGCGGCUUCAUGCCUGGAGAGAGUUUCUGAAGGAGAGGAGGAGGAAGAGGAGUGGCUACAGUGGGCCCAGACCUGCACGAGCGAGUCCCUGCUGCAGAGACGACGGGACUCAGACAUGAGGCUCCACGCUCUUCUGCUGCUGGGCGUCUGCUGGCUGAACGUGCCGACCAGCCCCCAGUCUGACAACAGGCAGCUGACUCGUGCUGUCGGACAGUCGGUCACUUUUCAAAUCCCAGUACUACAGCGGGGAUAUUUGAAAUAUGGAGAAUCUACAACCAUAGCAGCUGUCUUGAAUAGUGAGUUCAGUGUGUUUGGGAAGUUCAAAGGUACAGAGCGCUUCACCUGGGACAGAGCCACUGGAUUCUUCACGAUCACAGCCCUGAGCUCAGAGGACGCUGGGGUUUAUACAGUGGAGAGAAAGGAAGAGGAGCACACAAUGACAGUGGAAUUCAGCUUGACUGUGUACAGGGCUGAUGACAGUGUCCUUCUAUACGCUGGGGCAGCUGGUGGAGGAGCUGUGUGUUUGGGAAUUGUGGCUCUAGUGCUGUACUGCAGACUCCGAGGUAAAAAGCCCAGAGAUGAAGACAGUUCUCCUUCCAACAAUGGAGCUCCGGAAAGUUAUCCUGAGGAGGUGGCCUAUGCAGCUCUUGACAUGAAGAGACAGAAGCUGAGAGCAGCGCCCCCUGCUGGAGAGCAGCACACAGUGUAUGCAGAGGUGAAGGGUGGAGGGGGGCAGCGAGAGGCGUUAUAGACCAAACCCCACACCAGCUGCAGAGACCCUGGCAGUGAGAGGACAGAGGAGGCAAGUGUUCACAUCAGGAAGAAGAUACUGUAUAGAGCAGCAGAUUCAGUCCUGUACUACUGAGAAACUGUAUAUUUUAUACUCUGUGAGCUCAUUACUGUCUCUCUUCUACUGAGGUGCACUGUCUCUGUCAUCUUCCAGAGGAAGACACUGUGAGCUCAUUACUGUCUCUCUUCUACUGAGGUACACUGUCUCUGUCAUCUUCCAGAGGAAGACACUGUGAGCUCAUUACUGUCUUUCUCCUACUGAGAUACACUGUCUCUGUCUGUCGUUUAACAGAGGAAGAUGUCCAGAUGAAGCACACUUAGGAGUGUACUGUAUCUGUUCUCACUGUGUCAGGCUGUACAGUCCUGGACUUAGAAAAGGGGGGAUUGUGGGUUCAAAUCACACUUGAGGCUCAGCUGCUGUGUCCUUGAGCAAGAUGCUUCACUCAGGGUAUUUCAGCUGCAUACAGGAGAACAGAAUGAAGUUGUUUUGGAUAAAGAUUUUGCUGAAUAAAUGACAAGAAUAAUUUUAGUCCUGUAGUUGAGCAAUAGAUAAGUGUGCUUAUGGCUGUGUGCAGUUGUUCAAUGAGACAUCCUGGCAAUAUUAUUCCCAACAGACUGGAGAUGUGUUUAGUUGACAAUCACCACCACUAUACUGUAUGUGAAUAUGCAUGUUAAAACUACAGUAUGUAGCAGAGGGCAGUGAAUAAGGUUAUUGCUGCUGAGUUACAAUCUAGUGAAGAUUCAGUGAAGGCUAACUGGGUGUCGCUGCAGUACAAACAAUGAAAACGCUGAACACUAUGUACUGUAGCAAAGCUCAGUGCGUUUGUGUGAAAGAACCUACUUCUGUUUAACUGGACCCCAACAAGGCAGCAGGAGUUUAUUUCUGUGAACAGAACUGGGAAGUGGUCACACUGCAGGCUUGAACAGGAAAUGAUCCGACAGAAUCAGCUUUUCCACAGGCAGAAAACAAGCCCACACUCCAGCCUCUUCAGCAAAAUGUCUAAAUAUAACCUCUCCAUUUUUAAUACACUUCCCCUACAAUGUUUCCCCCUCAAUCAACAGUAUUUCACAAGCUACAGUGCACUGCUGCAGUUUAAUACUCGUUACAAAUGCGUGAGACGACAGUAGCACACCCACUUCAUAAAUAUGCUGUUUUAUAGUGUGUACGAAUUAUUCUGUUAUUCCGAGUUUUAGUUUAGAGUUGUAUGUUGAAAUAUGUCUCUUUGGUUUCACUUCCUCCGUAAGCAAUUAUAACAUCAGUCAUUUUAAUUUUUUGCUGUUAUAUAUCUUGUACUGUAUAAAGCUUCUUCGCAGUGCGAUGGGGGGAGCAGAGCUUGCCUUUCUAGCUCCUCUGAGCAGAGAGCUGAUUGGUGUUUCUGGGGUGGAAUUGUCAUCUCCCACACAGGAAGGUCCAAGUCCAAUUCCAGCCAGUGGUCAAGGUGCACGAAAAAGAGGUCCGAUUUAAAAAGAAGAGUACGCCUUUGAAUGAAUGUGUCUGGUACAUGUGCAGGUGAUGAGGAGUCUGGAGUAGUGCAGGCUGGUACUGUAGUUAUAUCCCCCUAAGCAGCUUGCAGUCCUCCUGACCUGCGAACAAUUCUGGAGACCCUGCCCGUCAGCGACAGAGAACUAGCGAAGCACUUGCACUAGUAGCUACUGCCUGCUGUGGGGAAGUAUUCUUAUUAAGUGUAAAUCACCGCCUCUGGAUGGAAGCAUUCUGCGAUAACGCUGAUAUGUGUGAUGUACAGUAUGGAUAGCAGUGGAUAUUACUUCAUGGAAUUCUUGAACUUUUCUUACUCAUUUGGACAUUACUUGGCUCAAUGUAAACAAAACUGUAUCAUGAUGUAAACAGUAAUGUUACCUGUGAGGGACAUGAAAAAAGCCAUUUAUGUGUCAAUGUAUUUGGCUCCUGCUUAAUGCUCCUGCUUAAUUUGAAUGUUGCAUUAAAUACAUUCGG